UGCCUAAUACAUGCAAGUCGAGCGAACUGAUUAGAAGCUUGCUUCUAUGACGUUAGCGGCGGACGGGUGAGUAACACGUGGGCAACCUGCCUGUAAGACUGGGAUAACUUCGGGAAACCGAAGCUAAUACCGGAUAGGAUCUUCUCCUUCAUGGGACAUGAUUGAAAGAUGGUUUCGGCUAUCACUUACGGAUGGGCCCGCGGCGCAUUAGCUAGUUGGUGAGGUAACGGCUCACCAAGGCAACGAUGCAUAGCCGACCUGAGAGGGUGAUCGGCCACACUGGGACUGAGACACGGCCCAGACUCCUACGGGAGGCAGCAGUAGGGAAUCUUCCGCAAUGGACGAAAGUCUGACGGAGCAACGCCGCGUGAGUGAUGAAGGCUUUCGGGUCGUAAAACUCUGUUGUUAGGGAAGAACAAGUGCUAGAGUAACUGCUCGUACCUUGACCGUACCUAACCCGAAAGCCACGGCUAACUACCUGCCCGCCGCCGCGGUAAUACCUAAGUGGCAAGCGUUAUCCGGAAUUAUUGGGCGUAAAGCGCGCGCAAGCGGUUUCCUAAGUCUGAAGUGAAAGCCCACGGCUCAACCGUGGAAGGUCAUUGGAAACUGGGGAACUUGAGUGCAAAAGAAAAAAGCGGAAUUCCACGUGGAACGGUGGAAUGCGUAGAGAUGUGGAAGAACCCCCGUGGCGAAAGCCGCUUUUUGGUCUGGAACUGACGCUGAAGCGCGAAAGCGUGGAAGCAAAAGGAUUAGAUACCCUGGUAGUCCACGCCGUAACGAUGAAUGCUAAGUGGUAGAGGGUUUCCGCCCUUUAGUGCUGCAGCUAACGCAUUAAGCACUCCGGCUGGGGAGUACGGUCGCAAGACUGAAACUCAAGGAAUUGACGGGGGCCCGCACAAGCGGUGGGAGCAUGUGGUUUAUUCCGA
rnacentral:rRNA from 1 species